rnacentral:piRNA from 1 species
UUUUGAAAUUGGAAAAAAAAUGGAGC